rnacentral:rRNA from 1 species
GAUGAACGCUGGCGGCGUGCCUAAUACAUGCAAGUCGAGCGAACAGACGAGGAGCUUGCUCCUCUGACGUUAGCGGCGGACGGGUGAGUAACACGUGGAUAACCUACCUAUAAGACUGGGAUAACUUCGGGAAACCGGAGCUAAUACCGGAUAAUAUAUUGAACCGCAUGGUUCAAUAGUGAAAGACGGUUUUGCUGUCACUUAUAGAUGGAUCCGCGCCGCAUUAGCUAGUUGGUAAGGUAACGGCUUACCAAGGCAACGAUGCGUAGCCGACCUGAGAGGGUGAUCGGCCACACUGGAACUUGGACACGGUCCAGACUCCUACGGGAGGCAGCAGUAGGGAAUCUUCCGCAAUGGGCGAAAGCUUGACGGAGCAACGCCGCGUGAGUGAUGAAGGGCUUCGGAUCGUAAAACUCUGUUAUUAGGGAAGAACAAAUGUGUAAGUAACUAUGCACGUCUUGACGGUACCUAAUCAGAAAGCCACGGCUAACUACGUGC